GUAGUACUCCCUCCGUCCGGAAAUACUUGUUAUCAAAAUGAAUAAAAGGGGAUGUAUCUAAAUGUAUAUUAGUUCUAGAUACAUCUUUUUUAUCCAUUUUGAUGAAAAGUAUUUUCGGACGGAGGGAGUACUUG
rnacentral:pre_miRNA from 1 species